GCGCCAAUAGUAUAGUGGUAAAACACCCACCUCCCAUACUCAUGAGGAAUAAGUGGGAGUCUCGAGUUCGAACCUCGAUUGGCGCA
rfam:Aspergillus rambellii strain SRRC1468 contig00020, whole genome shotgun sequence.